CCUACGGGAGGCAGCAGUGAGGAAUAUUGGUCAAUGGACGAGAGUCUGAACCAGCCAAGUAGCGUGAAGGAUGACUGCCCUAUGGGUUGUAAACUUCUUUUAUAUGGGAAUAAAAUGUUCCAAGUGUGGGAUUUUGUAUGUACCAUAUGAAUAAGGAUCGGCUAACUCCGUUCCAGCAGCCGCGGUAAUACGGAGGAUCCGAGCGUUAUCCGGAGUUAUUGGGUUUAACGUGAGCGUAGGUGGAUUGGUAAGUCAGUUGUGAAAGUUUGCGGCUCAACCGUAAAAUUGCAGUUGAAACUGGCAGUCGUGAGUACAGUAGAGGUGGGCGGAAUUCGUGGUGUAGCGGUGAAAUGCUUAGAUAUCACGAAGAACUCCGAUUGCGAAGGCAGCUCACUGGACUGCAACUGACACUGAGGCUCGAAAGUGUGGGUAUCAAACAGGAUUAGAUACCCUUGUAGUC
rnacentral:rRNA from 1 species